CCCGUCGCUACUACCGAUUGAAUGGUUUAGCAAGGUCAUCGGAUUGGUGCCAUUGUAGUUGCUUCGGCAGCUCGACCGGUGCUGAAAAGACGACCGAACUUGAUCAUUUAGAGGAAGUAA
rnacentral:rRNA from 1 species